GAGGGGUAGGUAUCUUCGGAUAUUGAGACCGGCGCACGGGUGCGUAACGCGUAUGCAAUCUACCUUUUACUAAGGGAUAGCCCAGAGAAAUUUGGAUUAAUACCUUAUAGUAUGUUUGAAUGGCAUCGUUUAAACAUUAAAGAUUUAUUGGUAAAAGAUGAGCAUGCGUCCCAUUAGUUAGUUGGUAAGGUAACGGCUUACCAAGACGAUGAUGGGUAGGGGUCCUGAGAGGGAGAUCCCCCACACUGGUACUGAGACACGGACCAGACUCCUACGGGAGGCAGCAGUGAGGAAUAUUGGUCAAUGGAGGCAACUCUGAACCAGCCAUGCCGCGUGCAGGAAGACGGUCCUAUGGAUUGUAAACUGCUUUUGUACAGGAAGAAAAAGUACCACGUGUGGUAUAUUGGCGGUACUGUAAGAAUAAGGAUCGGCUAACUCCGUGCCAGCAGCCGCGGUAAUACGGAGGAUCCAAGCGUUAUCCGGAAUCAUUGGGUUUAAAGGGUCCGUAGGCGGCCUUAUAAGUCAGUGGUGAAAGUUUGCAGCUUAACUGUAAAAUUGCCAUUGAUACUGUAGGGCUUGAAUAAUUGUGAAGUAACUAGAAUAUGUAGUGUAGCGGUGAAAUGCUUAGAUAUUACAUGGAAUACCAAUUGCGAAGGCAGGUUACUAACAAUUU
rnacentral:rRNA from 1 species